CAACUGUUCCUGCACCUGAACUAGACAGACUGGAACAACCUCUGUGAUUAACAAGAAAUCACCUGACUGACUAGAAAGGGAAAACCUUCAAACUAAGGGUGACCUGUCACUUCAUGAAGUACAACUUGGCCUCACAUCGCUAUAAAACGUCAGCUGUAUCUCCACUUGUAGACAUUCAACUCCAAAUCCCCGACUCAACAGGCAGGGCACCCCUAAAGGGAGUAACAUCUGGCAUCUCAUGGGAAGUCGAUGUUGAAAAGAUGAUGAACACCUUGGCAAGAAAGGCCCAGCAGAGGAGGUAUUAGGUGAACACCUUGACAAGAAAGGCCCUGCAGAGGAGGUAUUAGGUGAACACCUUGACAAGAAAGGCCCAGCAGAGGAGGUAUUAGGUGAACACCUUGGCAAGAAAGGCCCAGCAGAGGAGGUAUUAGGUGAACACCUUGGCAAGAAAGGCCCAGCAGAGGAGGUAUUAGGUGAACACCUUGGCAAGAAAGGCCCAGCAGAGGAGGUAUUAGGUGAACACCUUGACAAGAAAGGCCCAGCAGAGGAGGUAUUAGGUGAACACCUUGACAAGAAAGGCCCAGCAGAGGAGGUAUUAGGUGAACACCUUGACAAGAAAGGCCCAGCAGAGGAGGUAUUAGGUGAAUACCUUGGCAAGAAAGGCCCAGCAGAGGAGGUAUUAGGUGAAAACAUUGACAAGGAGGCAGAGAUGAACUUUAAAGAGGAAAAGCCACUGAAACAAGUCAGAGAUGAGUCGAAACCAGAGGAGGGAUUCUCAGGAAGAAACAGGGAAACAUCCCAAGUACCCUCUGUUCCAGACCAGAUGACUGUUGACUCAGUGGACACCACAUCAGCUGCUGUUAGCUGGAGCCAGCCACCAGGAAUGGACAAAACCCAACAUCAUUACCAGAUCUCCUACCGCUGUCCAGGGACAAAACCUCACAUCACUACCACAUCUUCACACAGCAUCACUCUCUCUGACCUGCAACGUGGUACUCAGUACUCUGUCACUGUCUGCACUGUGCUGGAAAAUGGAAAGAAAAGUCAACUGGUGUCAACAACCCUCACCACAGUACUUCCUGCUCCAGACCAGCUGACUGUUGACUCAGUGGACACCACAUCAGCUGCUGUUAGCUGGAGCCAGCCACCAGGAUUGGACCAAACCCAACAUCAUUACCAGAUCUCCUACCACUGUCCAGGGACAGAACCACACAUCACUACCACAUCUUCACCCAGCAUCACUCUCUCUGACCUGCAAUGUGGUACUCAGUACUCUGUCACUGUCUGCACUGUGCUGGAAAAUGGAAAGAAAAGUAAACUGGUGUCAACAACCCUCACCACAAUACUUCCUGCUCCAUACCAGCUGACUGUUGACUCAGUGGACACCACAUCAGCUGCUGUCAGCUGGAGCCAGCCACCAGGAUUGGACCAAACCCAACAUCAUUACCAGAUCUCCUACCACUGUCCAGGGACAGAACCACACAUCACUACCACAUCUUCACACAGCAUCACUCUCUCUGACCUGCAAUGUGGUACUCAGUACUCUGUCACUGUCUGCACUGUGCUGAAAAAUGGAAAGAAAAGUCAACUGGUGUCAACAACCCUCACCACAAUACAUUUUCAGUGGUGGAAGAGACCCUCCAGAGUUGCUGCAGUGUGUGUUCUACUGGCUGUCAUCAUAGGCCUGUGGGAUUCCUAUGCAGAAAGAGACCAGCUACAGACCAGUUACAACACCCUGACUGAAGAGAGAGACCAGCUACAGAAUAGUCUAAAUACCAGGACCACUGAGAGAGACCAGUUACAGACCAGGCUUUGGUUCUAUGAGAAACCCUGUCUGGAUGGAUGGUGGAAGUUUGGCACCAGCUGUUACUUUGUCUCCUCCACGAUGGACACAGGUGGGGGAGGUCAGAAGGCAUGCAGAGCAAUGGGUGCAGAUGAUGUUAUUAUAAACAGCAGAGAAGAACAGAUAUUUAUCCAUGGAUUUAAGAAGAAUGUCUGGAUUGGUACAUAUAAAAAGACGGAAUCUGGGAGUGGAUUGGCAUAACACUAUUUAAACCUACCUAUUGGAUGGAAGGGGAACCAAAUAACAUGCAUGACGAGUGUGUUGAGAUCUCACAGACGGCAUCAGACCCAUUGAAGAGUUGGAAGUUUGCACCAUGUGCUAUUCCAAAAUACUGGGUGUGUGAAAAACCGUUCACCCCGUAGUCUAAUUAUAAUAGCUAAAUGUAAUUCCCUAUCUUAUAGAGUUGAACUGGUUUUCCCUGUGUUAGGCUGAACCUGUUUUUGUUUCUAUUUGUAACUACAUUGAAAGACGUAUUUGAUGUCUUUAAAGAGACCAUGUCUAUGUGGAGUUUGUCCACCAUUCAUCAGGCCCUGGGGAGUGGAACUGUGGUCUAGUUGGCUCUAACUCUGGUUAAUAAAAAAAUGUCUUUACCAUAUUUACAAUUUUUACCAUUAUGGUGUGCACAUAACAAUUUAACAAGAUACUGUUUUCAUUGAAGUUUUUACAGCUAUCAAUACAUUUCAAAUGCAGCAGUGUUCUAUGUUUGCUUCCAUUCUGUUCCAUAUGUACCAUGUGUUCAUUCUACUGAUUAAAUACAUCUAUAUACUGUGA